rnacentral:rRNA from 1 species
CCUACGGGCGGCAGCAGUGAGGAAUAUUGGUCAAUGGGCGAGAGCCUGAACCAGCCAAGUCGCGUGAAGGAUGACGGCCCUACGGGUUGUAAACUUCUUUUGUCAGGGAGCAAUUGAGUCCACGUGUGGGCUUAGCGAGAGUCCCUGAAGAAAAAGCAUCGGAUAACUCCGUGCCAGCAGCCGCGGUAAUACGGAGGAUGCGAGCGUUAUCCGGAUUUAGUGGGUUUAAAGGGUGCUUAGGCGGAAUAUCAAGUCAGCGGUAAACAUUCGGGGCUCAACCCCGUCGUGCCGUUGAAACUGAUGUUCUUGAGAGGGCGAGAAGUAUGCGGAAUGCGGGGUGUAGCGGUGAAAUGCAUAGAUAUCACGCAGAACUCCGAUUGCGAAGGCAGCAUACCGGCGCCCAACUGACGCUGAGGCACGAAAGCGUGGGUAUCGAACAGGAUUAGAUACCCCUGUAGUC